rnacentral:rRNA from 1 species
UGGGGAAUAUUGGACAAUGGGGGAAACCCUGAUCCAGCGAUGCCGCGUGAGUGAAGAAGGCCUUAGGGUUGUAAAGCUCUUUUAGGAGGGAUGAUGAUGACGGUACCUCCAGAAAAAGCACCGGCUAACUUCGUGCCAGCAGCCGCGGUAAUACGAAGGGUGCAAGCGUUGUUCGGAAUUACUGGGCGUAAAGAGCGCGUAGGCGGUCUUUUAAGUCAGGCGUGAAAUCCCUGGGCUCAACCCGGGAAUUGCGUUUGAAACUGAAGGACUUGAGUGUCAGAGGGGUGAGUGGAAUUCCUAGUGUAGAGGUGAAAUUCGUAGAUAUUAGGAGGAACACCAGUGGCGAAGGCGACUCACUGGCUGACAACUGACGCUAAGGCGCGAAAGCGUGGGGAGCAAA